UGAAACCUGUCUAUACCUUAAUUUGAUGGCU
rnacentral:piRNA from 1 species